rnacentral:rRNA from 1 species
AGAGUUUGAUCCUGGCUCAGGACGAACGCUGGCGGCGGGCCUAAUACAUGCAAGUCGAACGCAGUCGACCUUCGGGUCAUAUGACUGAGUGGCGAACGGGUGAGUAACACGUGAGAAACCUGCCCCGAAGACUGGAAUAACCCGAGGAAACUCGGGCUAAUACCGGAUGUCCCCAGAUGGCCGCAUGGCCGACUGAGGAAAUGCUCCGGCGCUUUGGGAGGGUCUCGCGGCCUAUCAGCUUGUUGGUGAGGUAACGGCUCACCAAGGCUUCGACGGGUAGCUGGUCUGAGAGGACGAUCAGCCACACUGGGACUGAGAUACGGCCCAGACUCCUACGGGAGGCAGCAGUAGGGAAUCUUGCGCAAUGGGCGAAAGCCUGACGCAGCCACGCCGCGUGAGUGAUGAAGGCCUUCGGGUCGUAAAGCUCUUUCAGCAGGGACGAAAAUGACGGUACCUGCAGAAGAAGCCCCGGCCAACUACGUGCCAGCAGCCGCGGUAACACGUAGGGGGCAAGCGUUGUCCGGAUUUAUUGGGCGUAAAGGGCUCGUAGGCUGUUCAGUAAGUCAGGUGUGAAAACUCGAGGCUCAACCUCGAGAUGCCACUUGAUACUGCUGUGACUAGAGUUCGGUAGAGGAGUGUGGAAUUCCUAGUGUAGCGGUGAAAUGCGCAGAUAUUAGGAGGAACACCAACAGCGAAGGCAGCACUCUGGGCCGAUACUGACGCUGAGGAGCGAAAGCGUGGGGAGCGAACAGGAUUAGAUACCCUGGUAGUCCACGCCGUAAACGGUGGGCACUAGAUGUGGGAUCCAGUCAACGGAUUCCGCGUCGUAGCUAACGCAUUAAGUGCCCCGCCUGGGGAGUACGGCCGCAAGGCUAAAACUCAAAGGAAUUGACGGGGGCCCGCACAAGCGGCGGAGCAUGUUGCUUAAUUCGAGGCAACGCGAAGAACCUUACCUGGGUUUGACAUGUAGGGAAAAGCCAUAGAGAUAUGGUGUCCUUAGGGGCC